rnacentral:rRNA from 1 species
AUGCCGCUUCACGGCCGUAUUUGGAGUGAGAUUGCUAAUUGGCUAGCUAUCCUGGAUUUCUCAACUUUGGCUACGGCAAAUGCCACCUCGCUGAGAGGUUGGUGCACCGACACGGUGAACAAUUCAAUACCGCACUGGAAGGCUCUCACUUCGUUGAUGAUGUUGAUAUCUUGGGAAAUUUGGAAGGAACACAACGCAAGAGCUUUCCGCAACACCUCCGCACCCACCAUGGUGAUUGUCGGGAGGAUCAAGGACGAGGCCCAUCUACGGGCGUUAGCGGGCGCGAAAUACUUGUGUAAUGUAAUCUCGCGGGAGUAG